AUUGAACGCUGGCGGCAGGCCUAACACAUGCAAGUCGAGCGGAUGAAGGGAGCUUGCUCCUGGAUUCAGCGGCGGACGGGCGAGUAAUGCCUAGGAAUCUGCCUGGUAGUGGGGGAUAACGUCCGGAAACGGGCGCUAAUACCGCAUACGUCCUGAGGUAGAAAGGGGGGGAUCUUCGGACCUCAAGCUAUCAGAUGAGCCUAGGACGGAUUAGCUAGUUGGUGGGGUAAAGGCCUACCAAGGCGACGAUCCGUAACUGGUCUGAGAGGAUGAUCAGUCACACUGGAACUGAGACACGGUCCAGACUCCUACGGGAGGCAGCAGUGGGGAAUAUUGGACAAUGGGCGAAAGCCUGACCCAGCCAUGCCGCGUGUGUGAAGAAGGUCUUCGGAUUGUAAAGCACUUUUAGUUGGGAGGAAGGGCAGUAAGUUAAUCCCUUGCUGUUUUGACGUUACCAACAGAAUAAGCACCGGCUAACUUCGUG
rnacentral:rRNA from 1 species